rnacentral:rRNA from 1 species
AGUUAACGAGUACGUGAAACCGUUCAGAGGUAAACCUAAGAAACCCAAAAAAUCGAACGGGGAGAUUCAUCGUCAACGAAACUGGCUUCGCGUCGGUGGGCGAUAACCCCGCGGUGUGUCCUAAGCGGCACGCGCGUGCGGNCACGCUACCGAACGCCGAUGUCCGGUUUUCGUCGUCGUGCACUUCUCCCCUAGUAGAACGUCGCGACUCGCUGUGUGUCGGUCACCGACCCGGGUGCNNNUACUGUCACGUCGCCCGUAAAAACGGCGCGCGNNAAACACCCCCGGUCGCCCGACCAGCUGCCCGGCGGUACACGUACGUAUCAGGCCGCACCAACGGNNCGUCGAGAAGUA